AGUUUUGUUUUUGGUGACCUUAAUCAAUUGAGAGGUCAUGCAGAUGCAGCCAAGUCCGUGGAAUCUCGAAACGAAUGACGAGAUCGUUUUGUUCUUGUUCACCCUAACCAAUAAUAUUUUAAGACAUUUCAUGUGUUCAUGACAUGAAACGAUCACUGUACUACAGCCCUCUACUUGCUGACUUUUAACCAUUAACUCUCCACAGAGGGGUGCAACCUGUAGUCUUCCCAUUAGUUGAUUAGAGAAGCAGACCUCAAAGAUGACCAUUGUCUCAUUGCAAAGAUCCAGAAAUGCUCCAUUGAUUUGAUAUGAACAAGCAAGACCUGCUCAAUGAGAAACUUAAUUUGACAUUAAAUACAGGGGUCUGCUAAUGUUAAAUUACAGAAAAAUAAUGUUUGGACAAAUCCAAGAUAUCAAACCAAAAGAAAUUCUGUUGAAUUAAUGAUGGCCUUUGGAAAGGAAAUCAUGGGUCCAAGGCAGGUUUAGGAGCAACAAUGAGAUUGACCUUCCAAUGGAUCAGGUCACAGUAGAAACAGUAGCUCUGGCUGUAGAAUUACGUGCCACAAAUGACUCAACAAUCGGGUUCACAAGAUGAGGAGCUUCGUCCUGUGGGCAGUGGCCAACAUUAGGGAGGACAACAAAGUCCUCAACAGGAUCAAAAUUGGCAUAGUUCCUGCCAAGCUCAAUUGGUUCCCAAGGAUCCUUGUCACCCCAUGCUAUCAAAACAGGGCACUUCACCUGGGGCAGUAGUUCCUCAGGAAGAGGGCCUUCCGAGUAACAAAUGAAAUCAAGAAAUACGUCCACAGCACCAGGCUCAAGUCCUGGAAGAAGGAUUUUCUGAACAAGUUCCUGUGUCACCUGGGCAGUGUCAUGAUAACACUGGCACAGAAUGCUCCUCACGGACUCUGAUGUGGCAACUGAUUUGUAAAAAAGUUUGCCCAAAGCAGUAUUCCUGCAUAAUAGCUUGAUAUUCUUAAAUUAAAUAGUCGCAUAAGACUGCAAAUUAAAGAAAGAAAGUAUCUCAGUUUUGCCUCAGCAAACUCUGGAAUGAUCUGAUAAGUGGUCUUCCAAACUGUGGCUGCUUUUUAAUAUGAAGCAUACGCAAAGAUAUAUUUAACAGGACAAUGCCUCGACAGAUCUGUGGCUCCAUAACUGCUGCCUGAAGACCAACAAGUCCUACACCAGAGCGUUAUAAAUGGCAGAAGUGAUUUAUUAUGAUCACUUUGAAUUCCACAACUAUUUGAGAAUGUAACAUCUUUAGCACUUCAAGGCCUUCUUUUAUAGUUAAUAAUAUAAAAAGUUGAUAGUGUGCUGAUGCAUUAACUCGUAGCAACCACAUAAUUUCAAAGAAUCUCCCAGCAAACUCAUCCAAAAUUCGUACUCUAGCAUUUAUCCUACAACAAUCAAUCCACAUCAACAUUAUCUGCAUCUUAAGAUAACACAACUGCUAUUUUUUUUCUCUAAAGUAGGAUAUACACCUCUCUUACAACUGCUGAGAAAUUGCGUCAGGAAAAGACAGCCAACCAAGCUUUCCAAACUUGAGGAAUUUUUACUUUUAUAUCAACUCAUCCAAGGAAAAAGAGAAGAAUUAGACACAAGAGCCUACCAGGAUCAACUUGGAUGGAUACAUGGAAAACACAUUGACACCUCCAAUUGAAUUGCAUAUAAAGAAUGCUUUGUCUUUAAUUACAUCAGCACAAAAGUCAUUUAGCUGGGUGGCCCACGUCUCAAAUGUAUAGAAGGAGUUAUCUCCAAAUUCACGAGGAUUAGGUUUAUCUGAGUAUCCAUAACCAAUAAGAUCAAUUGAAUAUACUCUAUGAGAUUUUGCAAGAACAGGAAUGUUUUUCCUCCAAUGGUCGCUAUGGCAAUUACUUGUCUGCUAAUAAUAAGCAAAAUAUCAGUGAUGUAGACCUGUUUGCUCCAAAUCCAUGAACUAAAACGAGAGCAGGGCCACUGUUCCCAGAAUACUGAUAGCGGAUUGAAUAACCCUUCCAGGUCCAUAUACUGCUUUGAACUUCAGGCAUUUUGGCUGUGUCGCUUGAUGCACUUUUCUCUACUCCAACUUGAUUAUCAACUGAAUCACUUGAAAAGGAAUAUGCGCGAAAACCAUUUGAUUUAAAGCCAGAAAGUUUAGAAAUUUCGCGAGAAAUUGAUAAACCAUGGAGGUGGAUUUUGCUAAGAAGGAUUGGUGAUGGUAUUAUAUUCCGCCCAUUUCUCCUUUGGGGGAAUAGACAUGAAAAUUCAGGCUUUGUUACGGAGAGUAUAGCUGUGCUGGUACUUGACAUUGCCAGAGCAGAGAGAAAGCUUACAGAGAGAGUGAGAGAAGCUUCAAUGGAGCGUUAUGUUAUGCCCGCUCUUCGACCACGUAGCCAAGACAAGCUCGAGAGUCCGUUCAUCUUGCGUGGAUGAUAAUACACCACCUUACAGACCCUUACAACUUGCAAGCCUCGGAGUGGAACCCAUCUUUUUGGAC
rnacentral:misc_RNA from 1 species